GAAAGGGCCAUAGCUUGGUGGUGGAGCUUCUGCUUUACAUGCAGAAGGUCCCGUGUUCAAUCCCCAGCACCUUCA